GUCCCCAGGUGUCAGUGGCAGCUGCAGGGCUGUUGAGGCUGACAGGUGUCACACCUGAUCAUGGCAGUGCCAUGUCCCCGUGUCCCUGUCCCUGUGUCCCUGUGUCCCUGUGUCCCUGUCCCUGUGUCCGUGUGUCUGUGUGUCCCUGUCCCCAUGUCCCCAUGUCCCCAUGUCCCCAGGUGUCGGUGGCAGCUGCAGGGCUGCUGAGGCUGACAGGUGUCACACCUGAUCAUGGCAGUGCCAUGUCCCCGUGUCCCUGCUGCCUGUCACCUCCUGUGUGGCGAUGGCACCAGCAGCUCUGCCAUCCUGGGGCUGGGGGGGCACAGAGCAGACCCCGCUCACCCCAAAGCGUGGGGAUGAUUCCUGUUCUGAUUUCUGGGACUGGGUUUGGGAUUCUGGGUUAUCCUGCCGUGAAACCUGAGCUAACAAGCUUUACUGAGGGUUGGAAAUGAAUCUUGAAUCUUUCCUACUUAAACACCAUUGUGCUGUCAGUAAUUCCUCAUAGGAGGAUGCUGUUACCUGUGAACUUCUGUUAAGUCACAAUUAUGCCUCAAUUAUACCGUAAUCUUGUGAUGUUUUAUGUUAUCUGGUGUGAGCUGUGUUUAUCUGCCAUACUUAAACAGCCACUACUGUUAAGUUCUUUCUUGUUUCAGUAAAAACUAUUUUACUUUCUUCAACUGUCAAUGUCUGUGAGGAGUGGAUUUUGCCUAUCAGCUUCUGCCUGAAUUCUGGUAAUUUGAAAAUCAUUCUAGAGAACAGAGUGAUCAGAAUUGACUCAGAAUUCCUGAGGCAGUGUGUCACAGAAACAAGGAAAAUUAAAGAUGGAUUUUGAAGAGAGGCUUCUAUAAUUGUUCUACAGUUCCUACCAUUUUCUCUAGAGAAUAACCACAAGGGAAAAUGCUGACAUCCCUGUUCCUUAGUUCUACAGCUGCCUCUUCUAGGAGUUAAACUUUGGCUUGGGUUUUUUGGUUGCUGAUUUCUUUGUUUUUUAAUGAAAUAUAUUCCAUUUCAAGGCAAUAUUGUUUAAAACUUGGAGCAAGACAAACAUUUAUCUGGUAGUAUUUCUUUGGUCUAUUCUUUAGGAACUCCUGCCUUCUUCCUUCUCUGUUUUCCCUUCUUCCUUUAGGAAGCUGCAGGAAGCAGUGGCUCCCAGGUCCUUUUGUCCAGGAGAAAACAGGAAUCAGUGGAGAUGCUCCACAGCAGUAUCCUGGAAGGACUGAGCUGAGACAGGGAAUGCUGGGGUCAGUGGGGACUGGAGACAAGGUGAUUCCCAGCACAACUUGGCACUGGUUUUUCUACCCUUGAGAACUUUUACAUCCCUUGUAACUGAAUACCCCUUGUAAAUGUAUACCCCCUUUAAAUGUAUAUCACUUGUAAAUGUAUAUCACUUGUAAAUGUACAUCACUUGUAAAUGUAUAUGCCUUGUAAAUGUAUAUGCCUUGCAGUCUUAAUAAAUUGGGAGGCUUCUGCCAAUUCAUUUUUA